AAUCCAUGCCUAUGUGCCUUUGGGUACACAGUACUCUGCCUGAAUUGCUUUUCUCUGGCUUAUCUAGCUUGAGGCUUCCUUAAAAAUGUCACCUUCUCCAUGAAGUAUUUCCCAGUCCAGACAUAAUUACUCUUAUCUCUGUGCCAAAAUCCACAGAUGUCUACGGUAGACGAGAAUGGCCGUUUAUCACUUUAGUACAGUGCUUGCAAACUUCAGUCUCCAUCAGAAUUACCCAGAAGGCUUGUUAAAGUACAGACUGCUGACUCCAGAGUUUCUGAUUCUAUUCUGGUCUGGGCUGGUGUUGGAGGAAGAAUCGAGAGGGCAUGACCACUGAUUGACCCACCAGCUGGACUCAGGCAGUCGCAGGCUCCUCCCACACCCUUUGUCUUUGGAAUGUAGGCUCAGCCUACUUUCCCACAGUGGGAGCUGUUUCAAGGACGUAGCCUUGAGAGAGAAAGGUGUUUUUGAGACUGUCUGGACUGAAUAUAUGACUGAAUCCAGUUAAGGUCUCUUUAACUUUAAGGUUUUGGUGGGCAGGUACAGGGAUCUAUUCGUCUUGCAGGCGCCAAAGACAAGCCUCAGAAGAAAUCGCAAGGGUCGGCACACUCGGAGUGCAACGGAGGAGCGUCGCCCUGGGAAAUACCACCUUCUUGAUCAUGGUAUUUCCCCUGCCAGGUAAGCAUACAAUAACCUAUUUUAGAUCGAGUGGUCAGGUAAGGCUUUUGGGGGAAAAGGGGCAUUCAUAGAGGCGUAUUUUAAACAAACUCCUAUAGGGUGGACUUAUUGCACAGUAUUAUGACCUGUUUUUAAGUUGUCCAGCCUAACACUAGACUAUGUUCUCCUUGAAAGCUAAACUCUUGUCUUAUUAAUAUUUUUGCCGGGACUUCCUUGGUAGCGUAGUGGUUAAGAAUCCGCCUGCCGGGCUUCCCUGG